UACGGAGGGAGCUAGCGUUGUUCGGAAUUACUGGGCGUAAAGCGCACGUAGGCGGCUUUGUAAGUUAGAGGUGAAAGCCCGGGGCUCAACCCCGGAAUUGCCUUUAAGACUGCAUCGCUUGAAUCCGGGAGAGGUGAGUGGAACUGCGAGUGUAGAGGUGAAAUUCGUAGAUAUUCGCAAGAACACCAGUGGCGAAGGCGGCUCACUGGCCCGAUACUGACGCUGAGGUGCGAAAGCGUGGGGAGCAAACAGG
rnacentral:rRNA from 1 species